GAUGAACGCUAGCGGGAGGCUUAAUACAUGCAAGUCGAGGGGUAACAUGAGAGCUUGCUCUUGAUGACGACCGGCGCACGGGUGAGUAACGCGUACACAAUCUGCCCUUAAGAGGAGAAUAGCCCUGGGAAACUGGGAUUAAUGCUCCAUAGUAUCUUAAUACCGCAUGGUAUAAAGAUUAAAGUUCCGAUGCUUAAGGAUGAGUGUGCGUCCCAUUAGCUUGUUGGUAAGGUAACGGCUUACCAAGGCAACGAUGGGUAGGGGGCGUGAGAGCGUGAUCCCCCACACGGGUACUGAGACACGGACCCGACUCCUACGGGAGGCAGCAGUAAGGAAUAUUGGACAAUGCCCGAAAGGGUGAUCCAGCCAUCCCGCGUGCAGGAAGAAUGCCCUAUGGGUUGUAAACUGCUUUUAUAUACCAAGAAACCCCGGGAUUCAUCCCGGGCUGACGGUAGUAUAUGAAUAAGCACCGGCUAACUCCG
rnacentral:rRNA from 1 species